rnacentral:piRNA from 1 species
CCAUUCAACAGGAACAAGCCUCGCCCCU